UACGGGGGGGGCAAGCGUUGUUCGGAAUUACUGGGCGUAAAGGGCUCGUAGGCGGCCAACUAAGUCGGACGUGAAAUCCCCAGGCUCAACCUGGGAACUGCGUCCGAUACUGGAUGGCUUGAAUCCGGGAGAGGGAUGCAGAAUUCCAGGUGUAGCGGUGAAAUGCGUAGAUAUCUGGAGGAAUACCGGUGGCGAAGGCGGCAUCCUGGACCGGCAUUGACGCUGAGGCACGAAAGCGUGGGGAUCGAAACAGG
rnacentral:rRNA from 1 species